CUAUUGCUUCUCAUUUUAAAUUAGUAAGAGCUUCGUCACUUCUGUCCAAUAGUCUUAACUGAUUGUCUUUCUUCCCUGGCAUAAUCAUGCUGUUAUAGUGUGCUGGCUAGUUUUUGUUUGUUUGUUUGUUUUUCUAUCAACUUAACAUAAGCUAUAGUCAUUUGAAAGAAUCUCAACUGACAAAAUGCCACCAUAAGAUUUGCCUGGAGGCAAGUCUGUAGUGCAUUUUCUUGAUUGGACUCAAUUCACUCGGAUUGUGCCACCCCCUAAGAAGGAGGUCCUGGAUGGUAUAAGAAAACAAUCUCAAUAAGCCACAGUGAGCAAGCCAGUCCUUAUGAAAAGCUGAAAGCUUCUCCAAGGGAAGAGACAGGAAGAGGAAGCAGUCUAGUUCCUUCUGAUAUGCUAUGAAGUUGCGAAGUUUACUAAGCAGUGUGUACAGAGCAGCACAAUCUCAGGAGGAGCCACUUUGACCUGGGGAAAUGCUUCUGAAAUAUUCUGCCAUCAGCACAUUUGUUUACUCCCCAGAGUUUCCUUUCUAAAAAUAUAAAUAAAAACUACUGCUAGCACGA